GGUGGCUCAGUGGUAGAGCAUUUGCCUUGCAUGCAAGAGGCCCUGGGUUCAAUUCCCGAGCACCG
rnacentral:tRNA from 1 species